GUUCAGAGACCAGCGCUUUGUCUUAAACAUUCACCAUUAAAAGUAAUUAGAUCUGUAGUGUUUUAUGAAUCUGGGUUGGAUGGGAUUUAGUUGAACAUGCGCAGACGUGGGGCAUUUUCGAAGCUGGACGCCGGGUGGUGUCUUUCGUCGACAUCUCGCCCGACGAAUGGGGCAGUGGUGGCCUAGCGGUGAAAUUAUGAGGUCAGAAAGACCCGUCUAGGGUAAAAACCUUCUGCUCCGUGAGGAUCGAGGCGUGGAAAGACGCGACAUGUGCUAAAAGUGACCUUAUGAAAGCUCAGAGCAACAUUACGGAGUCCAUGUUGUACAAGCUUCAAGACGUAUUGAAGGCUAUGAAAUAUACAGGCAUGCAGAGCAGACUGGACAUAAUGUCUACAAAUCGAAGUAAAGAUGUAUUAACACAUGAAACCAAAAGAGGGUCGAGGCCCGCGGGUCCUGAAGAACACAGAACCAUCCAGACGGGUCCAGGAAGGAAGUGAGGAUGGACUCCACAGGGCACCUGCAGAAGCUGGUGAAGACUUCCAGCCCGUCACACAACGUCACGCAAGGCGACCUCAAGGGUACAGGGGGUAUUAAA
rnacentral:lncRNA from 1 species